CUAAACUACUAGUUUUUUAUUUAAAAAUAAGAGAGCAAGUGUUUCAUUUUAAUCCAAUACAUUCAAGAAUCUAACUUGACAUGGUUUCUAUGAUAGUACAAGAAAAAUUAUGAGAAGGUAUUGCCCCUUACAUGUUUAAAUACAGGAAAUCUUGAUCUUCAAGUUCUUGAUAUAACGUUCCUUCAAUUACUUGCUAUGAUCUUCAAUUCAAAAUAUGAUAAAUUGACCUCUAGCUUUUGGUGGAUUAUAUAUAUAUAUAUAUAUAUAUAUAUAUAUAUAUAUAUAUUAGAGAGGCUGGAGAGAGAUCUUCUAAUCACGUUCUGUACU
rnacentral:lncRNA from 1 species